rnacentral:rRNA from 1 species
AGGAUCAUUACAGUAGUUUGGGGGGUUGGAUGCUGGCCCGUGAGGGCAUGUGCGCGCCCCCCUCAUUUCUAAUCCCUCUCACACACACCUGUGCACCUAUGGAGAGCGCCUCCCGUUUGGAGACGUCCGACCCCGGUCGGGCUGAGGCGUUCCCUCCUUUUGCAUUUACAACACCGAUAGAAAAACCGCAUGUCUUUUUUGAGCUUUUAUGUCAUAACAACUUUCAACAACGGAUCUCUUGGCUUUUGCAUCGAUGAAGAACGCCGCGAAAGUGCGAAACGUAAUGUGAAUUGCAGAAUUCAGUGAAUCAUCGAAUCUUUGAACGCAUCUUGCGCUCCUUGGUAUUCCGAGGAGCAUGCCUGUUUGAGUGUCGUGAACCCUCCUCGACCUCCCCUUUCCCCCCCUCUAAGAAGAGGGGGGGCAACGGGAGGUUGGAUUUGGACGUUGCGGGUUGUGUCCGCUCGUCUUUAAAUGCAUUAGCUUGGCCCCCCUUUGAGUCGGUCCGAUCGCGGUGUGAUAAACAAACGCUUGUGGCGCCGUUUGGGUCGACUUCAGAUCUGGGUCGCUUAUAGCCCCAUAACGAUACAUGUCAUCUGACCUCAAAUCAGGUAGGAUUACCCGCUGA